rnacentral:rRNA from 1 species
AUUAUGAGAGUUUGAUCCUGGCUCAGGACGAACGCUGGCGGCGUGCCUAAUACAUGCAAGUCGAACGCUUCUUUCCUCCCGAGUGCUUGCACUCAAUUGGAAAGAGGAGUGGCGGACGGGUGAGUAACACGUGGGUAACCUACCCAUCAGAGGGGGAUAACACUUGGAAACAGGUGCUAAUACCGCAUAACAGUUUAUGCCGCAUGGCAUAAGAGUGAAAGGCGCUUUCGGGUGUCGCUGAUGGAUGGACCCGCGGUGCAUUAGCUAGUUGGUGAGGUAACGGCUCACCAAGGCCACGAUGCAUAGCCGACCUGAGAGGGUGAUCGGCCACACUGGGACUGAGACACGGCCCAGACUCCUACGGGAGGCAGCAGUAGGGAAUCUUCGGCAAUGGACGAAAGUCUGACCGAGCAACGCCGCGUGAGUGAAGAAGGUUUUCGGAUCGUAAAACUCUGUUGUUAGAGAAGAACAAGGACGUUAGUAACUGAACGUCCCCUGACGGUAUCUAACCAGAAAGCCACGGCUAACUACGUGCCAGCAGCCGCGGUAAUACGUAGGUGGCAAGCGUUGUCCGGAUUUAUUGGGCGUAAAGCGAGCGCAGGCGGUUUCUUAAGUCUGAUGUGAAAGCCCCCGGCUCAACCGGGGAGGGUCAUUGGAAACUGGGAGACUUGAGUGCAGAAGAGGAGAGUGGAAUUCCAUGUGUAGCGGUGAAAUGCGUAGAUAUAUGGAGGAACACCAGUGGCGAAGGCGG